rnacentral:rRNA from 1 species
UACGUAGGGCGCAAGCGUUAUCCGGAAUUAUUGGGCGUAAAGAGCUCGUAGGCGGUUUGUCGCGUCUGCUGUGAAAUCUGGGGGGCUCAACCCCCCAGCCUGCAGUGGGUACGGGCAGACUAGAGUGCGGUAGGGGGAGAUUGGAAUUCCUGGUGUAGCGGUGGAAUGCGCAGAUAUCAGGAGGAACACCGAUGGCGAAGGCAGAUCUCUGGGCCGUAACUGACGCUGAGGAGCGAAAGCGUGGGGGAGCGAACAGG